UACGGAGGGUGCAAGCGUUAUCCGGAUUCACUGGGGUUAAAGGGUGCGUAGGUGGGCAGGUAAGUCAGUGGUGAAAUCUCCGGGCUUAGCUCGGAAACUGCCAUUGAUACUAUCUGUCUUGAAUACCGUGGAGGUUAGCGGAAUAUGUCAUGUAGCGGUGAAAUGCUUAGAUAUGACAUAGAACACCAAUUGCGAAGGCAGCUGGCUACACGAAUAUUGACACUGAUGCACGAAAGCGUGGGGAUCAAACAGG
rnacentral:rRNA from 1 species